rnacentral:rRNA from 1 species
AGCGAACGCUGGCGGCAGGCCUAACACAUGCUAGUCGAACGAACUCUUCGGAGUUAGUGGCGGACGGGUGAGUAACACGUGGGAACGUGCCUUUAGGUUCGGAAUAACUCAGGGAAACUUGUGCUAAUACCGAAUGUGCCCUUCGGGGGAAAGAUUUAUCGCCUUUAGAGCGGCCCGCGUCUGAUUAGCUAGUUGGUGAGGUAAAGGCUCACCAAGGCGACGAUCAGUAGCUGGUCUGAGAGGAUGAUCAGCCACAUUGGGACUGAGACACGGCCCAAACUCCUACGGGAGGCAGCAGUGGGGAAUCUUGCGCAAUGGGCGAAAGCCUGACGCAGCCAUGCCGCGUGAAUGAUGAAGGUCUUAGGAUUGUAAGAUUCUUUCACCGGGGACGAUAAUGACGGUACCCGGAGAAGAAGCCCCGGCUAACUUCGUGCCAGCCGCCGCAGUAA